GAUGAACGCUGGCGGCGUGCCUAAUACAUGCAAGUCGAGCGAAGCGGGGACGGGUGAGUAACACGUGGAUAACCUCCUAUAAGACUGGGAUAACUUCGGGAAACCGGAGCUAAACCGGAUAAUUAUAGAUGGAUCCGCGCCGCAUUAGCUAGUUGGUAAGGUAACGGCUUACCAAGGCAACGAUGCGUAGCCGACCUGAGAGGUUGAUCGGCCACCCUGCAACUUAGACACGGUCCAGACUCCUACGCGAGGCCGCAUUAGGGAAUCUUCCGCAAUGGGCUCAAGCUUGACCGAGCAACGCCGCGUGAGUGAUGAAGUUCUUCGGAUCGUAAAACUCUGUUAUUAGGGAAGCGGUACCUAAUCAGAAAGCCACGGCUAACUACGUGCCAGCCGCCGCGGUAAUUC
rnacentral:rRNA from 1 species